rnacentral:lncRNA from 1 species
ACCAAUUGUCUUGCUUUGAUACCACUUAUUGUGCUCUGGUACUGGUUGUUGCUCUCUAAUACCACUUGUGCUAUAAAAGCGUCAUUUGUUGUGGUUUGAUACUACUUUUGCGCAAAUGUAGAAUUAAUACACACCAAAUAUUCACAAAAAAAAAAAAGCGAAACAAGAAUUUUACGUGAUUCGACAAUAAAAAUACAUCCACGGAAACAAAAGAGGAUAAUUAUUUUACUAACAAUUAAUAGAUUACAAAUUAGAGUAAUUAUCAAAAUAUAUCCAUUACUCUCACAUAUUUUAAAAGAAACAUUUUUCCUAAGACAAACAUUCUCUCACAUCUCUACAAAUAACCCAACUCAACACCCAAGCAAACGCUCUCCCAAACUUUCUAAGAACUCACUUGCAGAUAAUCUCUUUCUCUGAAAUCUCUCAUUGAUAACUCUCUUGAAUAUUCUCUUAGAGAGCUCUUCACCUAAACUCUC